CUGAUUGUUCUGUAGAGUUGAUGCGAGACUGAUUAUUAUGUGGGGUUGAGGUUAGACUGAUUAUUUUGCGGGGAUGAGGUUAGGCCGAUUGUUCUGUGGGGUUGAGGUUACACUAAUUAUUCUGUGGAGUUGAGGUUAGACUGAUUGUUCUGUGAAGUGGAGCUACACUGAAUAUUCUGUGGAGUUGAGGUUAGGCUGGUUAUUCUGUGCAGUUGAGUUUAGAUUGAUUAUUCUGUUGACGUGAGGUUAGACUGAUUGUUCUGUGCAGUUGAAGCUAGACUGAUUAUUCUGUUCUUGAAGCUAGACUGAUUAUUUUGCGGAUGUUAGGUUAGACUGAUUAUUCUGUGGAGUUGAGGUUAGACUGAUUAUUUUGUGGAGUCGGGAUAAGACUGAUUAUUCUGUGGAGUUCAGAUUAGACUGAUUAGUCUGUGGAGUUGACGUUAGACUGAUUGUUCUGUGGGGUUGAGGUUAGACUGAUUGUUCUGUGCAGUUGAGGUUAGACUGAUUAUUCUGUUCUUGAAGCUAGACUGAUUAUUUUGCGGAGGUUAGGUUAGACUGAUUAUUCUGUGGAGUUGAGGUUAGACUGAUUAUUCUGCGGAGUUGAGAUUAGACUGAUUAUUCUGCGGAGUUGAGAUUAGACUGAUUAUUCUGCGGAGAUGUGGCUAGACAGAUUAUUCUGUGGAGUCGAGAUUAGACUGAUUAUUCUGUGGUUUUGAGGUUAGACUGAUUAUUUCACUGUAGCUGAAUUUAGACUGAUUAUUCUGUACAGUUGAGGCUAGACAGAUUUUUCUGUGGAGUCGAGAUUAGACUGAUUAUUCUGUGGUUUUGAGGUUAAACUGAUUAUUUCACUGUAGCUGAAUUUAGACUGAUUAUUCUGUGCAGUUGAGGUUAGACUGAUUAUUCUGUGUAGUUGAGGUUAGACUGAUUGUUCUUUGGGGUUGAGGUUAGACAGAUUAUUCUGUAGAGUUCAGGCUAGACUAAUUGUUCUGUAGUGGAGGUUAGACUAAUUAUUCAUUGGAGUUGAGGUUAGACAGUUUAUUCUGUGGAGUGGAUGUUAGACUGAUUAUUCUCUGACGUUAAGGUUUGAAAUUCAAAAUGUGACACUUUAAAAAUAAUGUGCUUUCAUAAAAGUACACGUACACUGAGAUGUUUUAUGUAGUAGAGAUGUUUCAUAUGGUAGGGAUGUUCUUGCUUGUUUAUGUGUUUGAGAAGUGGCGUCAUCGGCGCCAACACAGUCAUAUGAUAAAAUGUGAGCAGGAAAUAUAUCAUUGCCAAAUCUAAAUACAACUGAAACAC